GGUAAUGAAGAGUCUAAGUCUAGAACAAGUUCUAGUACAAGUUAAGAAAAAGCUGAAACAAAGGUUUCUGUGUUUGUUAUUACCCUGAAUCUGCAAAGUGAAAGUGAAUAAAGCCUUUUAGUUAAGUUCAUACAGAAAUAAAAGAUUUAUAUGAUGAAAGCUUUUUGUAACUUCAUUUUACAUUUCCUGAUUUGAUGCAGCCAUUUUGAUUUCAUUUAUGAACCAUUACUAAAGUUUUGUGCAUUAUAAUUAUUAUGGAUAUUGUUUAUAUUUUAAAUAAGACAGUUCCUCAACUUGAGGAAAAUAAAUUAAAUCGGGAAACAACAUGAUUAGAACAGCAAUCUGCUGUUAGAAUAAUUCAGUAAUGUUCUGUACUUUAAUAAUGUAAUGAAAUAAUGUAAUGAGUGAGAGAUUGAUGUAGUGAAGAGUGCAAGAUAGGUGAAUAAAUGUGACAAAAUUGU
rnacentral:misc_RNA from 1 species